rnacentral:lncRNA from 1 species
AAAAAAAAAAAAAAAAAAGAAGGAAAUUAUUCAAUAACAUAUCGAAUUUUAUAAAAAAUUAUUAAAAUAACAUGCCAAAAAUCGUGGAUUACAAUCCAGUUGGCAAAAUUGAGAUAUAAAAAAUUUCAUUCAUGUUCUAAGUGUACCUUAAAAAUAUUAUAGUGAUAUAUUAAUAUUUUUUGGCCCUGCAUCAUCAUCAAAUCAAUAAACCAAGUUGAUAAGUUACAUGUGUGAUGAGUCAAUCUUGUCUACAUGUGUUGGGUAGAGGAGGAUUACUCUCAUCCACACCAGCUUGAUGACUAGAAAUAGGAAUCUGUGCACUACUACUAGGAGGUGCUAGGCAGUGGAUUUAAAAAAUUUAGUGGACACAUGUUAGAUUCUCUCUCUUCUUUCCCCUCUUUUCUCAGCACUAGACUAUUCCUAUAUCUCCCCUUUGACCAUAAUUAUCCUGGCCAAAUCCUCUGUCAGCAAUUUCAUCCAUCAGGUUCUAGAUUCAAUUAGAUUGUCAGGUACCUUCUGGAUUAUGUCUCCACCAUCUUCAAUAUACCAAGUAAUUUAUCACACAUGGUUAAUCUGUGCAACUGAUUUAUUUUAUAUCUUAAAAGAAAGAUUAUCUGCAAAUAAUCACAAAAUAAUACUUAAAAUAGGCAAAUUAAACUUAAAAUAACACAGAAAUCAGUAAAUUCUACAAAAAAAUCAUUAAUUUUACCACCAUAUACCACCAUAUUGUGAUUUAUUAUGACAAUGUUUUAUGUAAACAAAUCCGAAAAAUCUUUGAUUUAUAAUCCACACAGCCAGAAUAGCAGUGAUGUCUAUGGCCUAUAUAGGAAUGGGUGUGAUUGGCUAAUUGAUCCAUUAUCAUUCUCCGAAAUUCCACCUUCAUCAAUAACUUUAAGCCAUAUAGUUCUCUCUUCUUAUGUAAGUAAAUCAAGAAGCUCCUAAACUUUUUAUAAUGGGUGUAUUUCACAGAAUAUCCAAGUAGUUAUAUUUUAAAACUAAGCCAUUUCUAGAAUUGCUUUUAUACUGCAUUCACACUUAUGCUGACAAAAUACAAUAAUGCAGCGGAGGCAUACAGCGACAACAUUAUGAUACACUGGAAUAAAGCUAAAAUCAUAAAACCUAUAGUGAGAAGAUCCCAAGCCACAUUGGAGGAGGCAAUAGAAAUCACCAAGGCCAAUAAAAACGGGAAGACCAUUAACUACACCACCGCAACCGAAAUACCAA